UGGGGAAUAUUGGACAAUGGGGGCAACCCUGAUCCAGCAAUGCCGCGUGUGUGAAGAAGGUUUUCGGAUUGUAAAGCACUUUCGGCGGGGACGAUGAUGACGGUACCCGCAGAAGAAGCCCCGGCUAACUUCGUGCCAGCAGCCGCGGUAAUACGAAGGGGGCUAGCGUUGCUCGGAAUGACUGGGCGUAAAGGGCGUGUAGGCGGUUUGUACAGUCAGAUGUGAAAUCCCCGGGCUUAACCUGGGAGCUGCAUUUGAGACGUGCAGACUAGAGUGUGAGAGAGGGUUGUGGAAUUCCCAGUGUAGAGGUGAAAUUCGUAGAUAUUGGGAAGAACACCGGUGGCGAAGGCGGCAACCUGGCUCAUUACUGACGCUGAGGCGCGAAAGCGUGGGGAGCAAACAGGAUUAGAUACCCUGGUAGUCCACGCUGUAAACGAUGUGUGCUGGAUGUUGGGUAACUUAGUUAUUCAGUGUCGUAGCUAACGCGAUAAGCACACCGCCUGGGGAGUACGGCCGCAAGG
rnacentral:rRNA from 1 species